AUGUUGCUGUUUCAAGUGUGUUGAGUCAAUUGUUGAUUCUGUGUGUAGCUUUUUGAACAGCUACUUAUCCAUAUUGAACUAGUUUUGUGAAGUUCAGCGGGGAGUAUGUAGCUGGUUUAAAAAAAAUUGUGAAAUAUAAUUAAGAUUGUUAGUGAACUUCAUCAAAACUUAACUAUUUUUGUUUUCGUAUUUUGUGUGAGUUGUAAUCCUAUAAAAUGUACAUAGUUCUAGUGGGAACCAAUUAUGCAGAAUACUGUUGUAUAUGGGGCACAUAUUGGUGACGCAACGAUAGCUCGUGCGAUGUGCGAUCAGCGCCAUAUUUAGAAGCACAUUUUCCGCUGACGGGGUCGGGUGUGCUCUCUCUCGCUCAUCUGACGAGCGUGCUGCUGUCUGUGCUGUAUGAGCUGUAUGAGACUGAGAGGGAGAGACGUGUAUCUCACGGGAAAAAAGAGUAUUAAUUGUGCUCUGUAUUUCUGCAGAAUAAAGAUCCUGAGACCUCUUCAAUCGGCGUUGUCUUC